GAUUUAUAUAGCUCACAUAUACAGGGUGAGAUGAAAAAACUGCCACCAACUUCAGACUGCUGUCAUUUCUAAGCCACUCGUCCGACAGCUGUUAAAAUUAUUCCAGUGAUAGCUUAUUAUAUUGUUUAAAAACAUACAAAAGCAUUUUGGUGAGAAUUUUCCAGAAAAAAGUUGUUCGUGAUGGAAUUCAAGCGUGAUAGUCUGAUUUCUUUCUAUUUGUAUUUAGGAAAGCAAGGUUUGCACUAAAAAAUACCAAAGAGUCGAUCAACUCAAGCAAGCGCUUCGCCAGGAAUGGGCCAAAAGAUCACAGAGCAACGUGUGACGGUUUCAUUGGCCGUUUGAAUGUCAUAAUUCGCGCCAAAUGUGACCAAUUCGAACAAAUCUAAAUUUAUUCUAAAAUUUGAUGCUAUUUCUGACAUAUUUUGCAUU